CGACUCUCGGCAAUGGAUAUCUCGGCUCUUGCAUCGAUGAAGAACGUAGUGAAAUGCGAUACUUGGUGUGAAUUGCAGAAUCUCGUGAACCAUUGAGUCUUUGAACGCAAGUUGUGCCCGAGGCCUUGUGGCCGAGGGCACGCCUGCUUGGGUGUCAUGG
rnacentral:rRNA from 1 species